rnacentral:rRNA from 1 species
UACGUAGGGUGCGAGCGUUGUCCGGAAUUAUUGGGCGUAAAGGGCUCGUAGGCGGUCUGUCGCGUCGGGAGUGUAAUCCGCCGGCUUAACUGGUGGGGUGCUUCCGGUACGGGCAGACUGGAGGUAUGCAGGGGAGAACGGAAUUCCUGGUGUAGCGGUGAAAUGCGCAGAUAUCAGGAGGAACACCGGUGGCGAAGGCGGUUCUCUGGGCAUGUCCUGACGCUGAGGAGCGAAAGUGUGGGGAGCGAACAGGAUUAGAAACCCCCGUAGUCC